GGGGUGAAAGGCCAAUCAAACCGGGAGAUAGCUGGUUCUCCCCGAAAGCUAUUUAGGUAGCGCCUCGUGAACUCAUCUUCGGGGUAGAGCACUGUUUCGGCUAGGGGUCAUCCCGACUUACCAACCCGAUGCAAACUACGAAUACCGAAGAAUGUUAUCACGGGAGACACACGGCGGGUGCUAACGUCCGUCGUGAAGAGGGAAACAACCCAGACCGCCAGCUAAGGUCCCA
rnacentral:rRNA from 1 species